UACGUAGGGGGCAAGCGUUGUCCGGAUUUAUUGGGCGUAAAGAGCGUGUAGGCGGUUUGGUAGGUCCGCUGUGAAAACUCGAGCUCAACCUCGAGACGCCGGUGGAAACCAUCAGACGUAGAGUCCGGAAGAGGAGAGUGGAAGUUCCUGGUGUAGCGGUGAAAUGCGUAGAGAUCGGGAGGAACAUCAGUGCGAAGGCGGCUCUCGUGGACCAGCACUGACACUGAGGCACGAAAGCGUGGGGA
rnacentral:rRNA from 1 species